GAAGGAGAGCGGCCCGGCGCGCGCGCGCAGAGAGCGAGCCCGAGCCGGAGAGGGAGAGGGAGAGAGCGCAGCGAGAGCCAACCACCGCCGAGUCAAGAUUCAGCGAUUCCACAGCAAUCGCCCUAAUGACAACAGCCUCAUCAUAUCUCCCCUAAAUCCACACUACCUCUGGGAAUUGUGGAGGAGCUGCCUGCCUAGGAACUUGGGAGACAGACCAAUGGACCUGGGGAGCCAGGAAGACACUGGUUCCUCUCACCCACAAGAAGGACCUCCAGGCCUGCCAGCCAGCCACAAAAGGGCACUGAAACUUUGGAGGCUACCUGAGAAAGCAGAUAAGGACUGGAAAUUGUUUGUUCAUAUUGUAAAUAAUAAUAAACUGCUUAAUUUUCCUGUAGGGAAAGUACCUAGCAAGUCUACAACAUACCCUAAAAUGUUCACAGAACACAGAGGACACUCCCUCCCUCCAGCCGCCGCAGCCCCCAGGCGAGGCCUGGGUGUUUAUCCCUAGGUAUGUUGCAUUUAAGAAGAUGUAGUAAUCAGCAUCUUGAGCCGGUCUCCCUUUGUGAGGCUUCUGUAACUAUGGAAGUGUGAUUUACGCAGAUUUGUCGGGGUCAGAGACGUCUUUCCCCAGCACUGUGUAUAUUUAGACAGGACUCGGUUUGGUGUUAAAAAGUGUAUAUGUUGAAUGGAUUCACACACAGUAGCCAACAAUGCCCACAUUGUCGGCCCGUGUACAACGCGUAUUGAAACGCAGCGCUCAGACUUCAACUAAUCUGCCCUCAAUAAAGCUGAAAUAAUUAUCCUAA